rnacentral:rRNA from 1 species
UACGCAGGGGGCUAGCGUUGUUCGGAAUUACUGGGCGUAAAGCGCGCGCAGGCGGUCUUCCAAGUCAGUGGUGAAAGCCUGGAGCUCAACUCCAGAACUGCCAUUGAAACUGUUAGACUUGAGUACGAGAGAGGUGAGUGGAAUUCCCAGUGUAGAUGUGAAAGUCGUAGAUAUUGGGAAGAACGCCAGUGGCGAAGGCGGCUCACUGGCUCGUAACGGACGCUCAGGCGCGACAGCGUGGGGAUCAAACAGG